GAUGAACGCUGGCGGCGUGCCUAAUACAUGCAAGUCGAGCGAACGGACGAGAAGCUUGCUUCUCUGAUGUUAGCGGCGGACGGGUGAGUAACACGUGGAUAACCUACCUAUAAGACUGGGAUAACUUCGGGAAACCGUAGCUAAUACCGGAUAAUAUUUUGAACCGCAUGGUUCAAAAGUGAAAGACGGUCUUGCUGUCACUUAUAGAUGGUUCCGCGCUGCAUUAGCUAGUUGGUAAGGUAACGGCUUACCAAGGCAACGAUGCAUAGCCGAACUGAGAGGGUGAUCGGCCACACGGGAACUGAGCCACGGUCCAGACUCCUACGGGAGGCAGCAGUAGGGAAUCUUCCGCAAUGGGCGAAAGCCUGACGGAGCAACGCCGCGUGAGUGAUGAAGGUCUUCGGAUCGUAAAGCUCUGUUAUUAGGGAAGAACAUAUGUGUAAGGAACUGUGCACAUCUUGACGGUACCUAAUCAGAAAGCAACGGCUAACUACGUG
rnacentral:rRNA from 1 species